rnacentral:rRNA from 1 species
GUAGGUGAACCUGCGGAUGGAUCAUUUU